GCGCUCACGUCAGCAGCUCAUAUACUAAAAGUGGAACGACACAGAGAGAUCAGCAUGGCCCCCGCAAAAGGGUGACACGCAAAUGUGGGAAGUGCUCCAUAUUUUU
ensembl:snRNA U6 U6 spliceosomal RNA